AUUGAACGCUGGCGGCAUGCUUUACACAUGCAAGUCGAACGGUAACAGGCCUUCGGGUGCUGACGAGUGGCGAACGGGUGAGUAAUGCAUCGGAACGUACCCAGAGGUGGGGGAUAACGCAGCGAAAGCUGUGCUAAUACCGCAUGUGAUCUGAGGAUGAAAGCGGGGGACCGCGCAGCAAUGUUUGGCCUCGCGCCUUUGGAGCGGCCGAUGUCGGAUUAGCUAGUUGGUGGGGUAAAGGCCUACCAAGGCGACGAUCCGUAGCUGGUCUGAGAGGACGACCAGCCACACUGGGACUGAGACACGGCCCAGACUCCUACGGGAGGCAGCAGUGGGGAAUUUUGGACAAUGGGCGCGAGCCUGAUCCAGCAAUGCCGCGUGCGGGAAGAAGGCCUUCGGGUUGUAAACCGCUUUUGGCAGGAACGAAACGGUGUCCGCUAAUACCGGGCGCUAAUGACGGUACCGGCAGAAUAAGCACCGGCUAACUACGU
rnacentral:rRNA from 1 species